UACGUAGGGCGCGAGCGUUGUCCGGAAUUAUUGGGCGUAAAGAGCUCGUAGGCGGUCUGUCGCGUCGGAUGUGAAAGCCCGGGGCUUAACCCCGGGUCUGCAUUCGAUACGGGCAGACUAGAGUGUGGUAGGGGAGAUCGAAUUCCUGGUGUAGCGGUGAAAUGCGCAGAUAUCAGGAGGAACACCGGUGGCGAAGGCGGAUCUCUGGGCCAUUACUGACGCUGAGGAGCGAAAGCGUGGGGAGCGAACAGG
rnacentral:rRNA from 1 species